GACUAUUACAUAAUUGUAUUCAUUCUCUUUCUUUUCAAUAAGAUAAGGGCCAGAGUAACGCGAUUGAAGAGUGUUCCCAGAAACAGGAAGUAAUGCAAGAACCUUAUCUCCCGGUUGAAAAGUACGACUGGUAGAAAUCUUGUUGUAUUGGCGUUUCAUGCAUUUUUGAGCUGACAUAAGAUUUUGGGUACGAGUCAACCAUUCGUCACUUGGUGAAGCAGAUGGAGGCCUCCACUUACGCAUUAAAAUAUUUUCUUUCAUAAAGUAAGAGACUGGAUCAUUUGUUGCUUCGUCCUCAUUUGGGGCAUUUUGAAUGCAAGCAAGCUUCUAGAUAACGUCCUAAUUAAUAAUACAUGAAAUUAUGAUAUGAUAUAAUAAUGAUAUUACAUGAUAUAGUUGCUAUCAUGUAACAUAGAGGUUCAACUGUAUUUGUAUGACAAGUAUUUGUUUUAAUGAAGGAAGAAUUUUUUUAAUUAGGAGGUACAUUAUUGAAAGAAUUGGCUGACAAAGAAAUGAACUGAAA